rnacentral:rRNA from 1 species
UCGGGAAUUUUGGGCAAUGGGCGAAAGCCUGAUCCAGCAAUGCCGCGUGCAGGAAGAAGGCCUUCGGGUUGUAAACUGCUUUUGUACGGAACGAAAAGGCUCUUUCUAAUAAAGAGGGCCCAUGACGGUACCGUAAGAAUAAGCACCGGCUAACUACGUGCCAGCAGCCGCGGUAAUACGUAGGGUGCGAGCGUUAAUCGGAAUUACUGGGCGUAAAGCGUGCGCAGGCGGUUCUAUAAGACAGAUGUGAAAUCCCCGGGCUCAACCUGGGAAUGGCAUUUGUGACUGUAGAGCUAGAGUACGGUAGAGGGGGGAUGGAAUUCCGCGUGUAGCAGUGAAAUGCGUAGAUAUGCGGAGGAACACCGAUGGCGAAGGCAAUCCCCUGGACCUGUACUGACGCUCAUGCACGAAAGCGUGGGGAGCAAACAGGAUUAGAUACCCUCGUAGUCCCUGAGCGGGCUGGCAAGGCGCAU